rnacentral:rRNA from 1 species
UACGUAGGGGGCGAGCGUUGUCCGGAGUUACUGGGCGUAAAGGGCACGCAGGCGGUCCUGCGCGUUUCGAGUGACAGCUGCUGGCUUAACCAGCAGAGGGUUCGAAAGACGGUGGGACUUGAGGGCCAGAGAGGGACAUGGAAUUCCUGGUGUAGCGGUGAAAUGCGCAGAUAUCAGGAGGAACACCGGUGGCGAAGGCGCCACUCUGGGCCGGUACUGACGCUGAGGAGCGAAAGCGUGGGUAGCAAACAGG